rnacentral:lncRNA from 10 species
GCACUAGCAGCCCUUGAUGACCAACCUGAGACAAUGAGGUGAGAGAGUUUAUGUUACUUUCUCAAGUUCACUGUUAGUGGGUAACCUGGCAGGGACAAAUGACUCAGAUCUUUUUAUGCUAAGUCCAGGGUUCAGUUUAUAUGGUUUUGUCUCUCAACUGCUUAUCUUUGAGAAGAAUUAGCUUAUGUUAUUGUUUUCCUUGUCAGCAGAAUGGAAGCAUUGGAUUAGAUCAGUGGCUUUGCCGAGAUUUUCCCUUCCACUUGGUUACUAAGAUCCACUUCUUUAGAAUCAUUCUUCAUAGGAAAAAAAUGUUUCUUCUCCAUUUUUGAUUACUUUGUGCAGCAAUUUCAAAGACUUACCAAUCAAAGAAAUCAAGGAAGGUAUUGGAUAGGAAAACUUUUGAGGGUUCCACAUAUAGCAGUUUCAACAAUAAUCAGAUGUAUUUCCUACUGGUCCUUUUUGCAUUCAAGAAUGAUUAUUUUUCUGAAAGAAAAAAUUUGUUCUGAAAUUUCUCAGAGAGCUGAGCUUUGGAAGGCAUUCCAUUUAGGAAGAUGGAGUCAUAUCCUUCCUGUUGCAUUUAGAUAAAUGUGGCUAAUAGACAACUUUUUAACACAUGCUUUCUGGCACGUAAAUCAGCACUUCCAGGUUUGAAUCUCAGGGAUUCGUACUUUCAAUUGUUGCCAAAUAUUCAACAUUUGGCUCUCUUGAUCUUUAGUAUUAAACUUUUUUUGACUCCAUCUUCUUUCUUUCAGCCACUGUUUUCAUUAUCUAAAAACAGACACUUAAAGAAAUUAGUGAUAAUCAGUCUUUUCAUAAAGCUGAAAAAGGCCUGAGAUAUUGUUUGGUUUCACUUUCAAGAGUGGUUAAAUAACUGCUCAAGACUUCCAUAUGAAUAAUUUCUCCAUUUGCAAGUUUUUAUCUUUAACUUCUUCUUGGUUUUCUCAAUGCCACAAAACCUUCUUAGUGACAGGUAUUGGGAAAGACAAACUCUUUAGGCCUUCCUUCUUCCUUUGAGGACCAAAGACCAUUUCACUUUUAAUCAUUUUAUAUAUUGUCUCAACACUGCCUGCCUCUUUAUUAACCACCUCUGUGAAAUCUAUUGCUAUUAAUCAUCAAACACAUGUCUGAGUAUUACUGGCAAUUAUCUCUGAAUGCUUGUUACCUGUUGGUUUUAUUACUUGUUUUCUCCUAGAAGAAUAGAUUGUUUCAGGUCCAUAACUCUGUUUUAUGUGUAUGCAUUUGUGUGUAUGUUUAUAUUAUUAAAUGUAAUAUACAUUACAUUUUAAUUUAUAUUUUAAAUUUAAUUAUAUAUUAAAAGUAAUGGCAAAACUGCAAUUACUUUUGCACCAACCUAAUAUUCUUACAUUUUAAAAUUUUUCUUUUAGAUCUCAACUAUCAUUGCAUGAGGUAAAACAAUAUUUCAACCAAGGAUUACUAACACUUUGUUGCCUAUGAACGUACAUUCUUCCUGUUGCGUAUGAAGGCAGAAAGUCAGUUACAAUCUAUGAUUCCCCUCCAUUUCAUGUUAUAUCUACUGCAACAAUUUUUUGAAGUCUUCCAUAAGCUCCUUGAUUUUAUUCC